rnacentral:lncRNA from 1 species
CAACAACCAAUAAUCAAGCUCAAAAGAAGGAGCAUCCUCACUCAUGGAGAUGUACUUGAACCUGAAAUCACAACUCAAAUGAUAAGUCCAAACCACUAGGUCAAAGCCUAGGGUCAAAAGAGGAUCAAAAAGUCAAAACAGAGACUGAAAUUUAACACAAAGCAACUUCAAACACAUAUUGACAUAUCCUAAAAAGGCUCACAU